AGAUGCACACACAUGUGCAAAAGACUUUUGAGGAUCCAUUGAUCGCCAGGGUUGAUUCGGCUGGUCUGGCUGGCCAGGCGGGUGUCCCCUUCCUCCCUCAAUGAUCCAUGUGCGUCCCUCCCAAAACUGCGCGCUCUGUCAAAGAGGACAACCACCCCCGAUAGAGGAGACCGUUCCUCGGUCAAGGGUAUAUGAGUAGCUGCGCUCCCUGCUAGAACCUCCAAAUAAGCUCUCAAGACUUUUGGGGAUCCCUGAACAAUUAUCAAGUGCAAGUCAAGAUCUCAAUGUGCAAGGUUUG
ensembl:misc_RNA 7SK 7SK RNA